ensembl:miRNA
GGAGAAUUGCUUGAGCCUGGGAGAUGGAGGUUGCAGUGAGCUGAGAUCACGCCACUGAACUCCAGCCUGGCCGACAGAGUGAGACUCUGUCUC